rnacentral:rRNA from 1 species
CUGGCGGCGUGCCUAACACAUGCAAGUCGAACGGAGCUGAAGAGCUUGCUUUCUAGCUAGUGGCGGACGGGUGAGUAAUGCGUGAGCAACCUGCCUGUCAGUGGGGGAGUAACUUCCGGAAACGGACGCUAAUACCGCAUAUAGUACAUAAUCCGCAUGGAUAAGUGUAUGAAAGGAGCAAUCCGCUGACAGAUGGGCUCACGUCCGAUUAGUUUGUUGGUGAGGUAACGGCUCACCAAGACUGCGAUCGGUAGCCGGGCUGAGAGGCUGAUCGGCCACAUUGGGACUGAGACACGGCCCAGACUCCUACGGGAGGCAGCAGUGGGGGAUAUUGCACAAUGGGGGAAACCCUGAUUGCAGCAACGCCGCGUGAGGGAUGAAGGUUUUCGGAUUGUAAACCUCUGUCCUUAGUGAAGAAACAAAUGACGGUAACUAAGGAGGAAGCUCCGGCUAACUACGUGCCAGCCGCAGC